NNGGGUGGCGGAGGGCGGCGGAGGGGGGAGGUCUCUCUUCUGCAGGUUCCCUGAUCAUGUGUGGAGCGCUUCGUAGGACUCUGCUCCAGGGCCUGAAUGGGGCAAUGGCUGCCCAGGCACCCCAGAUCCAUACCAAAGCUGGGCAGGCUUUGCCAUCCCAUCUGCCUUGUUCCUCUUCUCUAUCCCUGCAGCAUAUGCAGCCUUACAGAUGAAUCAUCUCAGGAUAUUCACAGCAGAAGUUCCUAUGCAGAAUGCUGAGAGCUACAGGUUCAUGUCCUUCAGGGUCAAGGAACAGCCUUUGUCAAAAGAACGUCUAUCACCCCUUGACCAGAGGAGUGACCACACCUGGACAGAGAGGAUCUGGCGGCCGAGCCCUCCUUCCUUGUGACAGUGGCACCACUGGAAUCUUCCCGCUGAACUGUUAAUAAAGAGACAAGCUAUUUAAUCACUGUCCUGGCCUCCAGUGUGAAUGCUUUCUACUCAUGGACUUGGCUCUGGGGAC
rnacentral:lncRNA from 1 species